rnacentral:rRNA from 1 species
AGCUCCAAUAUCGUAUAUUCAGUUUGUUGCGGUUAAAAACCUCGUAGUUGGAUUUCUGCUGACGACGACCGGUCCGCCCUCUGGGUGAGUAUCUGGCUCGGCCUUGGCAUCUUCUUGGGAAACGUAACUGCACUUGACUGUGUGGUGCGGUAUCCAGGACUCUUACUUUAAGGAAAUUAGACUGUUUCAAGCAGGCGCACGCCUUGAAUACAUUAGCAUGGAAUAAUAAGAUAAGACCUUGGUUCUAUUUUGUUGGUUUCUAGAACUGAGGUAAUGAUUAAUAGGGAUACUUGGGGGCAUUCGUAUUUAACUGUCAGAGGUGAAAUCCUUGGAUUUGUUAAAGACGGACUAAUGCGAAAGCACUUGCCAAGGAUGUUUUCA